UCUACUGGUGUUACUGGUUCUGCUGGUGAGACGAUGUGUUCACAGGAAACCUGAAGAUCAAGAUGUUGGAGAAGAUGAAGUCAUCACUGACAUCAUGUGCAGUGUCAUCAACAUAUCAACCUUUCAGCAACAGCCAAUCAGACAAAGUGAAGAGUGUGAUUCAGCUGUGAUCUACUCAGCAGUGAGAACUGAAGACGUCAGUUAUGA